rnacentral:rRNA from 1 species
GCGAAUUGGUGAUAGCACGUUGAAUGCGCCAGUUCCCAAUAGAUCACUAAAGUUAAGCAACGAUGCUCGAAGUUGAUAUCCGGAUGGAUGACCACCUGAGAAACUGGGUGCUGCUGGCU